rnacentral:rRNA from 1 species
AUUGAACGCUGGCGGCAGGCCUAACACAUGCAAGUCGAGCGGAUGAAGGGAGCUUGCUCCUGGAUUCAGCGGCGGACGGGUGAGUAAUGCCUAGGAAUCUGCCUGGUAGUGGGGGAUAACGUCCGGAAACGGGCGCUAAUACCGCAUACGUCCUGAGGGAGAAAGUGGGGGAUCUUCGGACCUCACGCUAUCAGAUGAGCCUAGGUCGGAUUAGCUAGUUGGUGGGGUAAAGGCCUACCAAGGCGACGAUCCGUAACUGGUCUGAGAGGAUGAUCAGUCACACUGGAACUGAGACACGGUCCAGACUCCUACGGGAGGCAGCAGUGGGGAAUAUUGGACAAUGGGCGAAAGCCUGAUCCAGCCAUGCCGCGUGUGUGAAGAAGGUCUUCGGAUUGUAAAGCAUUUUAAGUUGGGAGGAGGGGCAGUAAGUUAAUACCUUGCUGUUUUGACGUUACCAACAGAAUAAGCACCGGCUAACUUCGUG